rnacentral:rRNA from 1 species
UACGUAGGGGGCAAGCGUUAUCCGGAUUCACUGGGUUUAAAGGGUGUGUAGGCGGAUUUUUAAGUCAGUGGUGAAAUCUCCGGGCUCAACCCGGAAACUGCCAUUGAUACUAUUAGUCUUGAACUCUGUUGAGGUGGGCGGAAUACAUCAUGUAGCGGUGAAAUGCUUAGAUAUGAUGUAGAACACCGAUUGCGAAGGCAGCUCACUAAGCAGACAUUGACGCUGAGGCACGAAAGCGUGGGGAUCAAACAGG